UACGAAGGGGGCUAGCGUUGUUCGGAAUUACUGGGCGUAAAGCGCACGUAGGCGGAUUUGUAAGUCAGGGGUGAAAUCCCGGGGCUCAACCUCGGAACUGCCUUUGAUACUGCAAGUCUCGAGUCCGAUAGAGGUGAGUGGAAUUCCUAGUGUAGAGGUGAAAUUCGUAGAUAUUAGGAGGAACACCGGUGGUGUAGACGGCUUACUGGACCACGACUGACACUGAGGCACGAAAGCGUGGGUAGCAAACAGG
rnacentral:rRNA from 1 species